GAUGAACGCUGGCGGCGGGCCUAAUACAUGCAAGUCGAGCGAACAGACGAGGAGCUCGCCCCUCUUACGCUAGCGGCGGACGGGUGAGGAACACGUGGAUAACCGAUCUAUAGGACUGGGAUACGUUCGGGAGAGCGAAUCUAGCAUCGGAUAAUAUAUUGAACGGGAGGGUUCAUUAGUGAAAGCGGUAUUAGCUGUGACUUAUAGAUAGAACCUCGCCGCAUUAGCUAGUUGGUACGGUAACGGCUUACCAAGGCAACGAUGCGUAGCCGACCUGAGAGGGUGAUCGGCCACACUGGAACUGAGACACGGUCCAGACUCCUACGGGAGGCAGCAGUAGGGAAUCUUCCGCAAUGGGCGAAAGCCUGACGGAGCCACGCCGCGUGUGUGAUGAAGGUCUUCGGAUCGUAAAGCUCUGUUAUUAGGGAGGAACAAAAGUGUAAGUAACUCUGCACGUCUUGACGGUACCUACUCAGAAAGCAACGGCUAACUACGUG
rnacentral:rRNA from 1 species